UACGUAGGGCGCAAGCGUUAUCCGGAAUUAUUGGGCGUAAAGAGCUCGUAGGCGGCUCGUUGCGUCGGCUGUGAAAACCCGCAGCUCAACUGUGGGCUUGCAGCUGAUACGGGCGGGCUGGAGUUCGGUAGGGGAGACUGGAAUUCCUGGUGCAGCGGUGAAAUGCGCAGAUAUCAGGAGGAACACCGGUGGCGAAGGCGGGUCUCUGGGCCGAUACUGACGCUGAGGAGCGAAAGCGUGGGGAGCGAACAGG
rnacentral:rRNA from 1 species